rnacentral:rRNA from 1 species
UACAGAGGUCUCAAGCGUUGUUCGGAUUCAUUGGGCGUAAAGGGUGCGUAGGUGGCGAGGCAAGUCAGAUGUGAAAUCCCGGGGCACAACCCCGGAACUGCAUUUGAAACUGCCUUGCUCGAGUACUGGAGAGGAGACUGGAAUUUACGGUGUAGCAGUGAAAUGCGUAGAUAUCGUAAGGAAGACCAGUGGCGAAGGCGGGUCUCUGGACAGUUCCUGACACUGAGGCACGAAGGCCAGGGGAGCAAACGGG